AUCGGUUCUUGGCCUUUUGGCUAAGAUCAAGCGUGGUAUCUAUUCUUAUCAGUUUGAUCACUGAUGCAUCCUCUUUCCGAGGACUGUCUAUUAAGUGGGUUUUUGAGAAGGAAGAUGGAAUAGAAACUUGUUCCGUCCACUCCACGCAUUGACCCGUCCACUCCACGCAUU
rnacentral:snRNA from 1 species